AAGUUUCCCUCAGGAUAGCAGUAACGUAUUCAGUUUUAUGAGGUAAAGCGAAUGAUUAGAGGCAUGGGGGUUGAAACAACCUUCACCUAUUCUCAAACUUUAAAUAUGUAAGAAGCCCUUUGUUACUUGAUUGAACGCGGGCAUUUGAAUGAAACGUUAUUAGUGGGCCAUUUUUGGUAAGCAGAACUGGCGAUGCGGGAUGAACCGAACGAGGGGUUACGGUGCCGGAGUACACGCUCAUCAGACACCACAAAAGGUGUUGGUUCAUCUAGACAGCAGGACGGUGGCCAUGG
rnacentral:ncRNA from 1 species